AUUGAACGCUGGCGGCAGGCCUAACACAUGCAAGUCGAACGAGUGGCGGACGGGUGAGUAAUGUCUGGGAAACUGCCUGAUGGAGGGGGAUAACUACUGGAAACGGUAGCUAAUACCGCAUACCAUCGGAUGUGCCCAGCUGGGAUUAGCUAGUAGGUGGGGUAAAGGCUCACCUAGGCGACGAUCCCUAGCUGGUCUGAGAGGAUGACCAGCCAACAGGGAACGGAGACACGGUCCAGACUCCAACGGGAGGCAGCAGUGGGGAAUAUGGCACAAGGGGCGAAAGCCUGAUGCAGCCAUGCCGCGGGUAUGAAGAAGGCCGUCGGGUUGUAAAGGACUUUCAGCGGGGAGGCGUUACCCGCAGAAGAAGCACCGGCUAACUCCGUGCCAGCAGCCGCGGUAAUAC
rnacentral:rRNA from 1 species